rnacentral:rRNA from 1 species
UACAGAGGAGCCAAGCGUUGUCCGGAUUGACUGGGCGUAAAGCGCACGCAGGCGGUCGCGCGCGUGGGGUGUGAAAUCUGGCCGCUUAACGGCCAGGCGCCAUCCCAUACGGCGCGACUCGAGCCAUGCAGAGGUCCACGGAAUUGCCGGUGUAGUGGUGAAAUGCGUAGAGAUCGGCAGGAACACCCAGGGGAACCAGUGGACUGGCACGGUGCGUGACGCUCAGGUGCGAAAGCGUGGGAGCGAACGG